AGAGAGAGAGAGAGAGAGAGAGAGAGAGAGAGAGAGAAAAAAAAAAAAACCCCUCAGUAUAAACUCAUGUGUUUCAAAUUCAUCUGGUUUGGUAUAUGUAUAUUCUGACUUUGAUCACAUUUUUCUUGUUCACAGGUUUCACAUCCACCGCUGCUGAACCAAAAUCAGCAGUUGGUCCAGUUUUGGACUGUGAUCUUGAUAACGACAUGUACAUCUGCACCGGUGCUCAAUACCUCAUGUACUGCAAUACAACAAUGCAUCAUUUCUACUACCAGAGAUACCAAAACCAAUACCAGUGCAUGAGCAAUGACUGUAUGUGUGUUGGUAAUAAGGACACCUGUGCAUGCUACUAUAACACAUCAUCCUGCUUCUGUGAGACUUUAAGCAAUAACACCACUGUCCUUACAGUAGUUAGGCCAGUUUUGGACUGUGAGCUUAAUAAUGACACGUACAUCUGCAUUGGUGCUCAUUACCACAUGUACUGCAACACAUCAGUGCAUUAUUUUAGCUACUACAAAUAUCAGUACCAAAACCAAUAUCAGUACAGAUGCUGGAGUAAUAACUGUGACUGCCGUUUUAAUAAGGACUCCUGUUGGUGCUACAGUUACACUUCAUCCUCCUGCUUCUGUACAAAUUACGGCAAUAGCAUCACUCUCUCUUCAUCACGUAAUCCAGUCACAGGCCUUGAUUGUCUGAUUUAUAACGACACGUACAUCUGCACUGGUGCUCAGCACCGCAUGUACUGCCAUACAAAAAUGCAUUAUUUCUACUACUGGAGAUAUCAGAACCAAAACCAAUACCAGUACCAGUGUAUGAACAAUAACUGCAACUGUGUUGGUGAUAAGGACACCUGUACAUGCUCUACUAGAACUUUGUCUUCCUGCUUUUGUGAGACUUAUGGCAAUAGCAUUGCUCUCCCUGCAGCAGUUAGUCCAGUCUAUGACUGUGUGCUUCAUAACGACACAUACAUCUGCACUGGUGCUCAGUAUCGCAUGUACUGCAAUACAAGAAUGCAUGAUUUCUCCUACCAGAGAUUUCAGUACCAGAACCAGUACCAGUGUGUGAAUAAUAACUGUAACUGCAUUGGUAAUAAAGACACCUGUACAUGCUCUACUAGCAUUUUGUCCUCCUGCUUCUGUGAGAUUUACGGCAAUAUCAUUGCUCUCUUUACAGUAGCUACUCCAGCUUAUGGCUGUGUGCUUUAUAAUGAUACAUACAUCUGCACUGGUGCUCAGUACCGCAUGUACUGCAACACAAGAAUGCACAGUUUCAGCUACCAGAGAUAUACAAACCAAAACCAGGACCAAUACCAAUGCUGGAAUAAUAACUGUAACUGUGUUGGUAAUAAGGACACCUGUACAUGCUACAGUAGCACUUUGUCCUCCUGCUUCUGUGAGACUUACAGCAAUAGCAUUGCUUUCCCAGCAGUUACUCCUGCUUAUGACUGUGGGCUUUAUAAUGACACAUACAUCUGCACUGGUGCUCAGUACCGCAUGUACUGCAACACAAGAAUGCAAGAAUUUUACUAUCGGAAAUACCUCUACCAAACUCAAUAUGAAUUACAAUGCAGGAAUAAUAACUGUAACUGCCGUGGAAACAUGGACACUUGUACAUGCUCUAGUAACUGUGCAAGCAAUAUCUGCGACUGCCGUGGAAAUAAAAACACCUGUACGUGCUACUAUAGUACACCAUCCUCCUGUUUCUGUACAAAUUAUGGCUAUACCAUCCCUGCAGCAGGUAGUCCCGUCCAUGCCUGUGGGCUUUAUAAUGACACGUACAUCUGCACUGGUGCUCAGUACCGCAUGUACUGCAACACAAGAAUGCACAGUUUCAGCUACCAGAGAUAUAGAAACCAAAACCAGGACCAAUACCAAUGCUGGAAUAAUAACUGUAACUGUGUUGGUAAUAAGGACACCUGUACAUGCUACAGUAGCACUUUGUCUUCCUGCUUCUGUGAGACUUUCAGCAAUAGCAUUGCUUUUGCAGCAGUUACUCCUGCCUAUGGCUGUGUGCUUUAUAACGACACAUACAUCUGCACUGGUGCUCAGUACCGCAUGUACUGCAACACAAGAAUGCAAGAAUUCUACUAUCAGAAAUACCUCUACCAAACUCAAUAUGAAUUACAAUGCAGGAAUAAUAACUGUAACUGCCGUGGAAACAUGGACACUUGUACAUGCUCUAGUAGCACUUUGUCCUCCUGCUUUUGUGAGACUUACGGCAAUAUCAUUGCUCUCUUUACAGUAGCUACUCCAGCUUAUGGCUGUAUGCUUUAUAAUGAUACAUACAUCUGCACUGGUGCUCAGUACCGCAUGUACUGCAACACAAGAAUGCAUGAUUUCUACUACCGGAGAUAUCAGAACCAAAACCAAUAUGAAUUACAGUGCUGGAAUAAUAACUGUAACUGCCGUGGAAACAUGGACACUUGUACAUGCUCUAGUAGCACUUUGUCUUCCUGCUUUUGUGAGAUUUACGGCAAUAUCAUUGCUCUCUUUACAGUAGCUACUCCAGCUUAUGGCUGUAUGCUUUAUAAUGAUACAUACAUCUGCACUGGUGCUCAGUACCGCAUGUACUGCAACACAAGAAUGCAUGAUUUCUACUACCGGAGAUAUCAGAACCAAAACCAAUAUGAAUUACAGUGCUGGAAUAAUAACUGUAACUGUGUUGGUAAUAAGGACACUUGUACAUGCUAUAGUAGCACUUUGUCUUCCUGCUUUUGUGAGUUUUACGGCAAUAUCAUUGCUCUCUUUACAGUAGCUACUCCAGCUUAUGGCUGUAUGCUUUAUAAUGAUACAUACAUCUGCACUGGUGCUCAGUACCGCAUGUACUGCAACACAACAGUGCAUUAUUUUAGCUACUGGAGAUCUCAGAACCAAAACCAAAACCCGUACCAAUGCUGGAAUAAUUGUGACUGCCGUGGAAAUAAGGAUACCUGUACAUGCUACAGUAGCGCUUUGUCCUCCUGCUUCUGUACAAAUUAUAACAAUACCAUCACCAUCCCUGCAGCAGUUAGUCCAGUCACAGACCCUGACUGUGUGCUUCAUAAUGACAUGUACAUCUGCACUGGUGCUCAGUAUCGCAUGUACUGUAACACAAGAAUGCAUGAUUUCUCCUUGCGGAGAUUUCAGUACCAAAACCAGUACCAGUGUGUAAAUAAUAACUGUAACUGCAUUAGUAAUAAAGACACCUGUACAUGCUACAGAAGCACUUUGUCCUCCUGCUUCUGUGAGACCUACAGCAAUAGCAUUGCUCUCACUACAGCAGUUAGUCCAGUCUAUGACUGUGUGCUUUAUAAUGACACGUCAUACAUCUGCACAGGUGCUCAGUACCGCAUGUACUGCAACACAACUGUACAUGAUUUCUAUUACAAUAUAAAUGAGCACCGAUGUGCAAGCAAUAUCUGUGACUGCCGUGGAAAUAAAAACACCUGUACGUGCUACUAUAGUACAUCAUCCUCCUGCUUCUGUACAAAUUAUGGCUAUACCAUCCCUGCAGCAGGUAGUCCCGUCCAUGCCUGUGGGCUUUAUAACGAAACAUACAUCUGUACUGGUGCUCAGUACCGCAUGUACUGCAACACAAGAAUGCACAGUUUCAGCUACCAGAGAUAUAGAAACCAAAACCAGGACCAAUACCAAUGCUGGAAUAAUAACUGUAACUGUGUUGGUAAUAAGGACACCUGUACAUGCUACAGUAGCACUUUGUCUUCCUGCUUCUGUGAGACUUACGGCAAUAGGAUUGCCCUCACUACAGCAGUUAGUCCAGUCUAUGACUGUGUGCUUUAUAAUGAGACGUCAUACAUCUGCACUGGUGCUCAGUAUCUCAUGUACUGCAACACAUCUGUACAUGAUUUCUAUUACAAUAGAAAUGAGCACCGCUGUAUGAACAAUAAUUGUGACUGCCGUGGAAAUAAAAACACCUGUACGUGCAACUAUAUUACAUCAUCCUCCUGCUUCUGUACAAAUUAUGGCUAUACCAUCCCUGCAGUAGGUAGUCCCGUCCAUGCCUGUGGGCUUUAUAAUGACACGUACAUCUGCACUGGUGCUCAGUACUGCAUGUACUGCAACACAAGAAUGCACAGUUUCAGCUACCAGAGAUACAGAAACCAAAACCAGGACCAAUACCAAUGCUGGAGUAAUAACUGUGACUGUGUUGGUAAUAAGGACACCUGUACAUGCUCUAGUAGCACUUUGUCCUCCUGCUUCUGCGAGUAUAACAUCUGCAUCCCAACCACAAUCAAUCCAACUACUGCAGUUCCGAAUAUCACACUGCCGGAUCAAUGCGAGAGUCAGGCCUCAGAAGGGUGUCUUCAAAAUGUUCUUGAUCAAAUUGAGAACAUUACAGCUCAAGAGCUCCCUGUGACUACUGUGACAAGCCUUUUGACUAUGACCUUCAACGCUUCAGAGAAGAUCUCCGAGUCAUCAUCAUCAUCUAACCCAGCUGAACUAGCCUCUUUUGGAAACCGUGUGUUAAAAACCAGUGAGAAACUAAUUUCUACAUUAGUGAAGCCGACAGACACAAGUGCCAAUGUCAGUUUUACUCUUGCUUCUGUAGGUAAGUGGAGACACAAUCAUUAUUGAUGAUAAAACUGAGAUUAUAUAUGAUGCAAUGGACUUCAUUCAGUCUAGAGAGCAGCAAUGAGUCAGACAGCAGCCAUGCUGAAAGCAGCAUUACCAUAUGACUGUGCAGGCUAGAGUUAUGAACUUUUUAUUAUAAGCAAGUGAAUAGUAUAUUUUGUUGAUGUCAAAGGUCAGUAUGUUGUACAAAUUCAUUGACUUUGAGAUGUAAGAGUUAAUAUUAAAUACAUUUAUACAUAUAGCAGAUUAAAGAAAACACUGUUUUAAAGUUGACCUGAAGGAUUCAAACUACAUCAGAGAUGAAAACCCAACAAUAGUGAAUAGUUGUUUUGUCUUUUGUGCAAAAUCAAUGAUUGAACUUGACUUUUUACAUACAUCCCCAGUCUAGAGUUGGGAAGGAGUAAUAAAGAAAGUGGUGGAGGAAUGGAGGGAGCUUUC
ensembl:lncRNA